rnacentral:rRNA from 1 species
GACGAACGCUGGCGGCGUGGAUUAGGCAUGCAAGUCGGACGGUAGGGCUUUAUCGUAAGAUAGAGUUUUGAGAGUGGCGAACGGGGUGAGUAACACGUAGGAAUCUACCCUUAAGACGGGGACAACCCAGGGAAACUUGGGCUAAUACCGGAUGAGAGUGCGAGAGAUUGCAUUUAAAAGGAUGGCGAAAGUUAUCGCUUAGGGAUGAGCCUGCGGUCUAUUAGUUAGUUGGUGGGGUAAGAGCUCACCAAGGCGAUGAUAGAUAGGCGGCCUUAACGGGUGGUCGCCCACACUGGGAUUGAGAUACGGCCCAGACUCCUACGGGAGGCAGCAGUCGAGAAUAGUCUACAAUGGUCGGAAGACUGAUAGUGCGACGCCGCGUGAACGAUGAAUCCCUUCGGGGUGUAAAGUUCUUUUAUAUGUGAGCAGUGCUUCUUAUAUUAACAGUAUGGGGAAGAGAUAUUAGCAUAUGAAUAAGCAACGGCUAACUCCGUGCC